rnacentral:misc_RNA from 1 species
GAUGAAGAACGUAGCGAAAUGCGAUAACUAAUGUGAAUUGCAGAAUUCCGUGAAUCAUCGAGUCUUUGAACGCACAUUGCGCCCCCUGGUAUUCCGGGGGGCAUGCCUGUCCGAGCGUCAUUGCUGCCCAUCAAGCACGGCUUGUGUGUUGGGUCCUCGUCCCCCCCGGGGGACGUGCCCGAAAGGCAGCGGCGGCACCGCGUCCGGUCCUCGAGCGUAUGGGGCUUUGUCACCCGCUCUGCAGGCCCGGCCGGCGCUGGCCGACGCGAAAGCAACCAUUUUUUCUCCAGGUUGACCUCGGAUCUGGUAGGGAUACCCGCUGAACUUAAGCAUAUCAAUAAGCGGAGGA